UGAGGAACAUGACCUUGACCCUGGAAUAACAGCUGGAAACAGCUGCUAAUACCGGAUACGACCUCCGAUGGCAUCAUCUGGAGGUGGAAAACUCCGGCGGUCAAGGAUGGUCUCGCGGCCUAUCAGCUUGUUGGUGAGGUAACGGCUCACCAAGGCUUCGACGGGUAGCCGACCUGAGAGGGUGAUCGGCCACAUUGGAACUGAGACACGGUCCAGACCUCCGUAGGGAGG
rnacentral:rRNA from 1 species